AGUGAACGCUGGCGGUAGGCCUAACACAUGCAAGUCGAACGGCAGCACAGUAAGAGCUUGCUCUUACGGGUGGCGAGUGGCGGACGGGUGAGGAAUACAUCGGAAUCUACUUUUUCGUGGGGGAUAACGUAGGGAAACUUACGCUAAUACCGCAUACGACCUACGGGUGAAAGCAGGGGAUCUUCGGACCUUGCGCGAUUGAAUGAGCCGAUGUCGGAUUAGCUAGUUGGCGGGGUAAAGGCCCACCAAAGCGACGAUCCGUAGCCGGUCUGAGAGGAUGACCAGCCACACUGGAACUGAGACACGGUCCAGACUCCUACGGGAGGCAGCAGUGGGGAAUAUUGGACAAUGGGCGCAAGCCUGAUCCAGCCAUACCGCGUGGGUGAAGAAGGCCUUCGGGUUGUAAAGCCCUUUUGUUGGGAAAGAAAAGCAGCAGGUUAAUACCCCGCUGUUCUGACGGUACCCAAAGAAUAAGCACCGGCUAACUUCGUG
rnacentral:rRNA from 1 species